AGUGAACGCUGGCGGUAGGCCUAACACAUGCAAGUCGAACGGCAGCACAGUAAGAGCUUGCUCUUACGGGUGGCGAGUGGCGGACGGGUGAGGAAUACAUCGGAAUCUACUUUUUCGUGGGGGAUAACGUAGGGAAACUUACGCUAAUACCGCAUACGACCUACGGGUGAAAGCAGGGGAUCUUCGGACCUUGCGCGAUUGAAUGAGCCGAUGUCGGAUUAGCUAGUUGGCGGGGUAAAGGCCCACCAAGGCGACGAUCCGUAGCUGGUCUGAGAGGAUGAUCAGCCACAAUGGAACUGAGAAACGGUCCAGACUCCUACGGGAGGCAGCAGUGGGGAAUAUUGGACAAUGGGCGCAAGCCUGAUCCAGCCAUACCGCGUGGGUGAAGAAGGCCUUCGGGUUGUAAAGCCCUUUUGUUGGGAAAGAAAAGCAGCAGGUUAAUACCCCGCUGUUCUGACGGUACCCAAAGAAUAAGCACCGGCUAACUUCGUG
rnacentral:rRNA from 1 species